ACGCACGCUGGCGGCGUGCUUAACACAUGCAAGUCGAACGAUGAAGAAGAGAAACGCGAACUUCGGUUCAAAUUUCACUUCGGAUUAGUGGCAGACGGGUGAGUAACGCGUGAGCAACCUACCUCUUACAAAGGGAUAGCCUCGGGAAACCGUGAUUAAUACCAUAUGACACAUUCAUAAGGCAUCUUAAGAAUGUUAAAGCUACGGCGGUAAGAGAUGGGCUCGCGUCCCAUUAGCUAGUUGGUGAGGUAACGGCCCACCAAGGCGACGAUGGGUAACCGGCCUGAGAGGGUGAACGGUCACAUUGGAACUGAGACACGGUCCAAACUCCUACGGGAGGCAGCAGUGGGGAAUAUUGCACAAUGGAGGGAACUCUGAUGCAGCGACGCCGCGUGAGCGAUGAAGGAAUUCGUUUCGUAAAGCUCUGUUCUAUGGGAAGAAAAGGACUGUACCAUAGGAGAAAGCCCCGGCUAAAUACGUG
rnacentral:rRNA from 1 species